rnacentral:misc_RNA from 1 species
GAAUUGUUAGGGUGCUGAUUUUAACUAUAGAAUAUGCAAUUUGGUCUUCACUAUAUACGCCUUGCUUCAAAAAGGCACACCCCUUGCCUCAUGCCUCUCACCUAAGGCCAUAGGAUACCUCAUCGCCUUAGUGUCACCUCUUGCAUUAACAACACUGUCAUGUUGUAAAUAAUAUUGUUUUAAUACCAUAUAUCCAGAAACUUAACGAGUGAUAUGCAUGCAUAUUUAUGUAAAUUUAUUUAAAGGGACCUGAUUGACAUGUACCAUAUAGCUUCUGACUUUAAAGCACUUCUAACUUCCACAUUUUGGAAAAAUUUGAAAAAGCUAUUAGCCUAUGACAUUGUAAGUUUGAACCCAGCAAACCCCAAAUAUUUUACUUCUCUAAGUAGCCUAUAUAUUUUACUGGACAGCAACCUCUUGGCAAAUAAAACUGACGAUCCUUUUCAGCUGCCCAUUCCUAGCCCUGCAAUCACCUACAAUUGGAAGAACCAAUAUUGAAUUUGCUAUUAAUGAACCCUUCAUUCUAUCCUAGUUAAGUAGCCUAUAAAUCCUUUGUGCAAGCAAUCCAAUCCAGAUUGGUAUAUUUUCAGACAUCUUAAUAAACAGGUUUGGCCUAUGAAUAAUAAGGUGAUCCACUGUAGUCCCUGAGGCAUUCACCUUGUGGCUCCAAUAAGUGAAAUUACAUAAACGUCCUACUAAGGCAGGGUAGGUGCCAAUCGAUUACUAGAAAAUUCUAGAUUAUAGCAUUCUGCUAUGUUCAGAACAAGCCCCAAGCAGAUGAGAUGACAGUAGUUUACUUCAUUCUUCGAAUAGUAGGCAGUACACAUCAUUAUCUGUGCAUAUGCUCGUACAAAUUAAAAACACAAAAGCUCAACUCAAUCAAGUACAAUCCUAAACUAGAAGAGUCAGUCAUUGAUUUUUUCCAUUUUUGACGCUUAGCUUAUGGCCAAGAACUUGAACUAAUUAUAUCUAUUUUACACACAACAGAUGUUCUCAUAUAAUUUUAUUGUAUGGGACCUAUAGGUCUAUUAUAUCCUAAAACUCUAAAUUAUUGAAAAGAAAACAUUUUUUUUUGGCUGACUUGGCAUACUUUGCAACUUUGAUUAGGGUAUGGGAUUAGGAUGAAUAGAGCAGAGCAUUGACAGUCCAUCAAAGAUGUAGUUCAGAAAGGCCCUUAAUCUAGUUUAACAAAGGCCUAAAAACAGAACUAUCAACACAAUCAAUUCACUCAAACAAGUAAAAUAUCCAAGGAACAUCACAAUAAAAGGUAGAAAUUGCAGCGCAUUACCACAUUGUGCUGAAUGUAGGGA